rnacentral:rRNA from 1 species
CCUACGGGAGGCAGCAGUAGGGAAUAUUCGUCAAUGGGCGCAAGCCUGAACGAGCGAUGCCGCGUGAGUGAAGAAGGCCUUCGGGUCGUAAAGCUCUGUUGCGGGGGAAAAAAAGCAGCAUCAGGGAAUGGGUGCUGGCUGAUGGUGCGACGCCAGAAAGUCACGGCUAACUACGUGCGAGCAGCUGAGGUAAUGCGUAGGUGGCGAGCGUUGGCCGGAAUGAUUGGGCGGAAGGGGUGCGCAGGCGGUCCGGCAAGUCUGGAGUGAAACGGAUGAGCUCAAAUCAUGCAUGGCUUUGGAAACUGGAGGACUGGAGAGCAGGAGAGGGCGGUGGAACUCGAUGUGUAGCGGUAAAAUGCGUAGAUAUAUGGAAGAACCCCAGUGGCGAAGGCGGCCGCCUGGCCUGUUGCUGACGCUGAGGCACGAAAGCGUGGGGAGCAAAUAGGAUUAGAUACCCCAGUAGUC